ACACACACACCCGCGCAGCCACAUAGAGAGGGAGGAAGGAGAGCGGCCCGGUGCGCGCGCGCAGAGAGAGAACCCGAGACAGAGAGGGAGAGGGAGAGAAGAGAGGGAGAGCCAACCACCGCCAAGUCAAGAUUCAGCGAUUCCACCGCAAUCGCCCUAAUGACAACAGCCUCAUAAUAUCUCCCCUAAAUCCACAAAUUCAGCUGCCUCUCUGAGGAGUGGUGGAGGAGCUGCGGGAGCCGAGAAGCCCAAGAGCCCUCUGGACCCGGAAAAGUCCCACAGAUGCCCACUCCUCACCACACAACAGAAGGAGCUCUGGUCCUGCCUGCCAGCCCCAGAGGGCACUCAAACUUUGGAGGCUAGCCACCUGGAUGAAGUGAAUAAAGCCUGAAAAUUGCUUGUUU